ACGGAGGGAGCUAGCGUUGUUCGGAAUUACUGGGCGUAAAGCGCGCGUAGGCGGCUUUGUAAGUUAGAGGUGAAAGCCCGGGGCUCAACCCCGGAACUGCCUUUAAGACUGCAUCGCUUGAAUCCGGGAGAGGUGAGUGGAAUUCCGAGUGUAGAGGUGAAAUUCGUAGAUAUUCGGAAGAACACCAGUGGCGAAGGCGACUCGCUGGACAAGUAUUGACGCUGAGGUGCGAAAGCGUGGGGAGCAAACAGGA
rnacentral:rRNA from 1 species